rnacentral:rRNA from 1 species
GGAGCAGGCGGCCGCAAGGGUCUGUGGUGAAAGACCGAAGCUAAACUUCGGUAAGCCAUGGAAACCGGGCGGCUAGAGUGCGGAAGAGGAUCGUGGAAUUCCAUGUGUAGCGGUGAAAUGCGUAGAUAUAUGGAGGAACACCAGUGGCGAAGGCGACGGUCUGGGCCGCAACUGACGCUCAUUCCCGAAAGCGUGGGGAGCAAACA